GACGAACGCUGGCGGCGUGCCUAAUACAUGCAAGUUGAGCGAUGAAGCUUGGUGCUUGCUCCAAUUUGAAGAGCAGCGAACGGGUGAGUAACGCGUGGGGAAUCUGCCUUUGAGCGGGGGACAACAUUUGGAAACGAAUGCUAAUACCGCAUAACAACUUUAAACAUAAGUUUUAAUUUUGAAAGAUGCAAUUGCAUCACUCAAAGAUGAUCCCGCGUUGUAUUAGCUAGUUGGUGAGGUAAACGCUCACCAAGGCGAUGAUACAUAGCCGACCUGAGAGGGUGAUCGGCCAAAUUGGGAAUGAGACAAGGCCCAAACUCCUACGGGAGGCAGCAGUAGGGAAUCUUCGGCAAUGGACGAAAGUCUGACCGAGCAACGCCGCGUGAGUGAAGAAGGUUUUCGGAUCGUAAAACUCUGUUGGUAGGGAAGAACGUUGGUGAGAGUGGAAAGCUCAUCAAGUGACGGUAACUACCCAGAAAGGGACGGCUAACUACGUG
rnacentral:rRNA from 1 species